UACAUUUCAUUUUACCUCCGUGUCUUCUUCUCUCAGAUAUUUCUCUCUCAACAGGCGAAUCAUGGCGACUCGACUCGCCGUAAUCCCGCACGCCUACGUCCCUGCGCAUCCCUGCACGGCCGUAGCUCGCGCCGCAUCCCCACCUCGUGACGCCGCAGCCCCGCUCGCCGGCCGCCAGCCGCCGCCGACCGGCGACGAGCCUCCGUCCGUGCUCGCGGGCCGCCAACGACGAGCGAUGCAGAUCCAGGCUCCAGCGAACUCCAGUCAGGAGGCACCAUGGAAAUUGCCAAGAGUUAGCUAGUGCAAGUUGCCUAACUGUAUUGAUCAAUACUGUACCUGGAUGCAUAUGACUGUACCAACAGAGUACAGUUACAUAUAACUGGUCCAGUUUCUGUUUGCUGGGCAAUCUGAAAAUUGAGAAAUAAAGUGUGUUUUGAAAA